GACGAACGCUGGCGGCGUGCUUAACACAUGCAAGUCGAACGGAAAGGCCCUGCUUUUGUGGGGUGCUCGAUUGGCGAACGGGUGAGUAACACGUGAGUAACCUGCCCUUGACUUUGGGAUAACUUCACGAAACUGGGGCUCAUACCGGAUAUGAGCUCCUGCUGCAUGGUGGGGGUUGGAAAGUUUCGGCGGUUGGGGAUGGACUCGCGGCUUAUCAGCUUGUUGGUGGGGUAGUGGCUUACCAAGGCUUUGACGGGUAGCCGGCCUGAGAGGGUGACCGGCCACAUUGGGACUGAGAGACGGCCCAGACUCCUACGGGAGGCAGCAGUGGGGAAUAUUGCAGAAUGGGCGGAAGCCUGAUGCAGCAACGCCGCGUGCGGGAUGACGGCCUUCGGGUGGUAAACCGCUUUCGCCGGUGACGAAGCGUGAGUGACGGUAAUGGGUAAAGAAGCACCGGCUAACUACGUG
rnacentral:rRNA from 1 species